CGCACGGGCCGGGCUCGAGGGCGGCCCGGGCGCCGGAGCUGCCGGCGAACUUUUCCCGUCCGAAUUCCAGAUCGAGAGCCUGGGAACCACACUCUGCCCAAACGUUGGAAAACUACAAUAAAAAAAAAAACAUAGCCGUGAAAAUAAGUGAGAUUAAAACCUGUCGGCUUCACUUCCUGGAAGCUUUUUGUUGGGUCUUGAAACUAGGAAUCUUUGCGGGUCAUCCUUGAUAUUUCACAGGGAAAGCUGGACUUGUGGCUUCUCUUUGAAACCUGAGAAGAUCUGGAGCAGAGCAGCAGUGUCAGAUGUGACAGUCUACACCUCCCCUGUUGUCCUCUUGAGGGAGUGAGGUGGAGACGGAGGAAGGAGGCCUAGGCCAAGUCCCGACCAGCUUGCUGAUCCUGAAGCUCGAUCGGAUGGCUCCCCGGAUCCCCCUUGCCAGCUCCUGGAUUCACAGGCAUUUACUGAGCGCCUGCUGGAAGCGCCCGGAGCUGGCACCAGGCACGCAAGGCGGAUGAAGCAGUUCCUGUCCGUGGGGAGGUCAGGGACAUGAAUUCCAAGGUCAGGCCUGGCAUCUGGGUCCCAGUUUCUGCCUUUCCUACCAUCCAGCAUGUAAUACCGUCCCAAAUGACUGCAUUCCCAAAGGUCUUUCUUGACAUCACUGCUGCCCCCUCCCCUCCCCGCCCCCCCAACCCCGCCCAGGACUGUGCACCCCCAUGCCACCUUGCAGCGACUUCUGCGUUACACCAGGACACUUCGCCUAGCCCCGCUUAGGUGCUCAUUAGAUCUUUGUGGAACUUAAUUUCUUUGGACAAAUCUGUCUUCUGAAACUUAGUUUAUGUUCACUCACUCAUCAAAUAUUUCUAAGCCAGGCACUGUUCCAGAAGCUGGGGAUAAGGGCCAUGAACAAAAUGUAAAAUCCCUGCCCACGUGGAACUUCUAGUCCAGUCAGGGAAGAAAGGCCAUAUAAACAGGCUACUCUGAAUUCUUGUGUAUUGGGUUGUUAUCUGUACCCUGACAUUUGCUGCAAUCUUGUUUGCUCUGACUGCUACCUCAGUUCCCUGCCAAGUGGCCUUCUUUCCCAACCCUGGUCUACACAGCCCUUACUCAGCGGCGCGUCUAUCUGAGGGCAAAGAGCAAACCGGUUAUCUUAUUGCAUCUUGAAUCAAAGUGUCUGCAUAUCUCCUCUAGGCUUUAACCAAGAUCAGCCAGUUAUUUCCAAAUGCCAGAAGCUUCCACAAUAAAUGCAAUUGUAUAUUUCUUACAGAAUAUUAGGGAGAAGCCUUGUUAGAAGCCAAGUAACUGUGCUGUCCCAUUGUUUGGUUCUGUUAUAUUGCUUUUCUUUUUAAGCUUCUUAGCUAUUAUGCCAAAUAUAAAAGUAACUCUGACUACUUUGCAUUCAUAUUCUGUAGCUUAAUUUGAGUAGACGUUUAAUAAUUUAUCAGUAAAAGAGAAUCUUACCUUUAGAUAUGUAAUUUUGUGGAGUACAUUUUGCUGUAUUCUUACUGAGCUCUUUGUAUUUUUUCUGGGUCUAGUACUUGUCACAGAGAAAUACAAGUCCAAUUUUGUUGUAAAAAUGAGAGAGGAUUUCAGUGUUCCAAGUAGUCUACAUAGUGAGUUACAUCUGAAAAUUCAGGUAAAAGAAGUAUAAUUUUAAUUUCUUCUCUACAGAGGCGAUUUUUGUGAA